rnacentral:rRNA from 1 species
CCUACGGGUGGCAGCAGUGAGGAAUAUUGGUCAAUGGGCGCGAGCCUGAACCAGCCAAGUAGCGUGAAGGAUGACUGCCCUACGGGUUGUAAACUUCUUUUAUAAAGGAGUAAAGUGAGGCACGUGUGCCUUUUUGUGUGUACUUUAUGAAUAAGGAUCGGCUAACUCCGUGCCAGCAGCCGCGGUAAUACGGAGGAUCCUAGCGUUAUCCCGAUUUAUUGGGUUUAAAGGGAGCGUAGAUGGGUUGUUAAGUCAGUUGUGAAAGUUUCGGGCUCACCCGUAAAAUUGCAAUUGAUACUGGCAGCCUUGAGUACAGUUGAGGUAUGCGGAAUUCGUGGUGUAGCGGUGAAAUGCUUAGAUAUCACGAAGAACUCCGAUUGCGAAGGCAGCUUACUAACCUGCCACUGACAUUGAUGCUCGAAAGUGUGGGUAUCAAACAGGAUUAGAUACCCUGGUAGUC